GUCUAGAGAAUCGUUUUCCGCGUUGGCCUGUGUACAAGUCCCUUGGAACAGGGCGUCAUAGAGGGUGAGAAUCCCGUCCUUGACACAGAUUACCAAUGCUUUGUGAUGCGAUCUCGAAGAGUCGAGUUGUUUGGGAAUGCAGCUCAAAAUGGGUGGUAAAUUCCAUCUAAAGCUAAAUAUUGGCGAGAGACCGAUAGCGAACAAGUACCGUGAGGGAAAGAUGAAAAGCACUUUGGAAAGAGAGUUAAACAGUACGUGAAAUUGUUAAAAGGGAAACGAUUGAAGUCAGUCAUGCUUUCCGAGACUCAGCCGAUUCUGUCGGUGUACUUCUCGGUUGGCAGGCCAGCAUCAGUUUCGAUCUGUGGAAAAGGUUGGAGGGAACGUGGCAUCCUCGGAUGUGUUAUAGCCCUUCUUCGAAUACAUAGAGCGGGACUGAGGAACGCAGCGCGCCUUUUAUUAGGUUGGCCCUCGGGUACAUACGCGCUUAGGAUGCUGGCAUAAUGGCUUUAAACGACCCGUCUUGAAACACGGACCA
rnacentral:rRNA from 1 species